rnacentral:misc_RNA from 1 species
GUGGGCGGUCAGGGGCGGU